UCGUUCGGUGGGCUGGUGGCGGUGCUGGACGCCACGAUCGUCGCGGUGGCGCUGCCGAACCUGAUGGCGGCGUUCGACGCGUCGCUGAUCGAU
rnacentral:tRNA from 1 species